rnacentral:rRNA from 1 species
AGCAGUAGCCGCGGUAAUACGUAGGGUGCAAGCGUUAAUCGGAAUUACUGGGCGUAAAGAGUGCGCAGGCGGUUAUAUAAGACAGUUGUGAAAUCCCCGGGCUCAACCUGGGAACUGCAUUUGUGACUGUAUAGCUAGAGUACGGCAGAGGGGGAUGGAAUUCCGCGUGUAGCAGUGAAAUGCGUAGAUAUGCGGAGGAACACCGAUGGCGAAGGCAAUCCCCUGGGCCUGUACUGACGCUCAUGCACGAAAGCGUGGGGAGCAAACAGGAUUAGAUACCCGCGUAGUCCCUGUCUCUUAUAC